rnacentral:lncRNA from 1 species
GCCUUGUAUACACCAUACCAUACAUUAGGCAUCCAAUCACCCUUGCAUAUUCAUUUUGUGCUAUUGGCUUGUCUUUGUUGGGUACUAGCCUUAGAUCAGAAUCAUAUGAUGUAAAUAUUGACGUAUAAUCUAGCUUAGCAUAUUUUAUUACAAUCUUUUGAAUGUAAUGAGAUUGAGAUAAUGUUAGGUCAUUAUUGUUUUUUAUUAUCCUUAUAGACCAAGAAUAACAUCUAACAUACCCAUAUCUUUAAUGUCAAAAUUCUUUGAUAAGAACUUUUUUGUGUCAUCCACUUGUUCCAAGUCAGUACCAAGUAUUAACUUGUCAUCCACAUAUAGACAAAUGAU